rnacentral:rRNA from 1 species
GACGAACGUUGGCGGCGUGCUUAACACAUGCAAGUCGUACGGGGUAAGAGGGGCAACCUUCUUACCUAGUGGCGAACGGGUGAGUAACACGUAGGUAAUCUGCCCUCGAGCGGGGAAUAAUUCCGGGAAACUGGUUGUAAUUCCGCAUAACAUUCCGGUGGGGCAUCCCACUGGAAUCAAAGGCGCAAGCCACUCGAGGAUGAGCCUGCGGCUCAUUAGCUUGUUGGUGAGGUAACGGCGCACCAAGGCGACGAUGCGUAGCCGACCUGAGAGGGUGAUCGGCCACACUGGGACUGAGACACGGCCCAGACUCCUACGGGAGGCAGCAGUAGGGAAUCUUCCGCAAUGGACGAAAGUCUGACGGAGCAACGCCGCGUGAGCGAAGAAGGCCUUCGGGUCGUAAAGCUCUGUUGUCAGGGAAGAACAAGUACCGGAGUAACUGCCGGUACCUUGACGGUACCCGACCAGAAAGCCACGGCUAACUACGUGCCAGCCGCCGCGGUAACAC